GUCUAUGACCACACUACCCUGAGCACAGUAAACCUUAUCUGAUCUUGGAAGCUGAGCAGUGAUGAGCCUGAUUAAUAUUUGGACGGGAGAGAUACCAGGCAUGCUGAUAAAGAGAAGUUUUAGAUG
rnacentral:rRNA from 1 species